GAAGUGAUUGAAGAUACGAGCCUUUUUUGUAUCGCGAUGAGUGACGGUACAGAUGCGGGACUGCUGCUGCCUGGCUACGUGUCCUCUCCUGCCCCCGCCAAGUCAUGCAGCCAAACCAGCCAGCCCGCGCCGCUUCAGCUCGCCACGUGUAAAAGACCCAGCCUGACAAAAACUGAAUGUCCGGCCUUGUCUUGUCAUGGAUGCUGUCUUGACUGGUAAAAAGAAAAGUGUGUUCGCGCAAGACGGAUCAGGUUCUGCGUUAUUCAGUCUGCGGCGCCUCGCUUUCCUUCUUUCUCCUCCCCGCCGCGGCUCCUCUUUAUCCCUGCCACUGCCGAGCUAACGCCGGGAAUGCACAAAGCACUGGUUGUCAUGUAGAAAGUCUCUUGCUCUAGCUCUCUCGCUCUCUCUUUCUUGCCCGCUUCCUCGCUCCCAGUGCGGACGCUGCUAGUCACUCAUUGUCAGCAUACCAAAAGUGAAUGUGAAUGUUGCCGUAAAUCUUGUUUCUAAGGUUAAAGUAAAAAGUUCAAGUAUGAUAAUGACUGUGAAUAAGAGAGAUUUACAGUGCAUACAAAAAACAUAUAACGACAAAACUUUAGAGAAAUGCGAGGGAAGAGACUGGAAAUCGAUUAUCAACUGGAGACACAUUAGUGAAAGUGAAACAGCGAAUGUGAAACAGAUCUAACUGAAGUAACAAAAGAAGAGAAGUAAUACUUAUAAUAGUAUGAAAAAAAAAAGUAAUCAGUAAAACGAUGGUGAAUAAAGGAAAGACGCAUAAUAUGAUGAAAUAAAACACAAGACAAAGCAAAUCAACCAAAGCGAAAAAAAAAAAAAAGUUAAAAGGGAGCAAUGCAUGAAAGUGGAAGUGAGGAGACAAACGAACAAACAACAGAGACGAUAGUAAAAAGUAAAGAAAAGUAAAUAAAAGCAAGGACAAAGAAAAUCUAAAAGUCACAAGAGAAGAACCACAAUAUAAAACAAGAAAUGAAAGCAGUGAGGAUAAAGAAAAUGACAAAGAAGCAAGCAAACAAAGAAACAGAGCACAAGAGAUACUGAAAAAAAAUAGAAUAAAUGAAUAAUAGUAAACAAGGAACAAGUAAAACACAAGGCGCACAUUACUGGGAAACCGUAACAAAGAAUGAUGGAUAGAAGCUAUGUAGAACUAAAACAAGGAAGCAAACAAACAAGAAAACAACAGAUAGGUAACCAAAAGACCCAGGAAUAAAGAAAAUCAAGAAAAAAAAACGUAAUAAGCAACAAAAUUAAGAAAGUAUUGAAAAUUAGAGCUAAUAAACAAAGAAAACCACAAAUAGACAAACAAACAAACAGCAAAGGAUAAGGUGAAAAAAGAAUACACUAGAAACAAACCAAAUAGAAAUAAAACAUCACAGAACAAAACAGAAAUAAAUAAAAAGAAGCGAAAAAAAAACAAAGACGACUAAAAGCAACAAAACAAAACAAACAAAUUAAAAACCUAGAAAAUAACAAAUAAAAUAAACCAGGAACAAAUAAAUCACAAAGUAAAAAGGAGCCGUAGCAAAGGCAGUCCUACGAGAAUCCCUCAAGGUCGUUAUCAUCAUCGUCAUCAGCGGCAACAACACGGCCACGGCCAGCCAGCACCAGCUCCUCUCGGCUCCUCCCAGCACGUCCCUCGUCACGUAGCAGACAUGUUCACCAAAAACCCCUUCACUGGCCGCCUCUCCCAAGCCCCAGGGGUCCAGAUCCCAAUGAAAGGAGUGGGCCCAGUAGCAGCUGAGGCCCCUGUUAUCAGCUACACCCCCGGCACUGUGUUCCCCAAGCAGCAGACAGGGCCACGCAGCACUGUGCCAGACUUUGUGCUGCAGAAGAUGAAGCAUUUCCAGACUCCAAACAACAUCCCCAUCCACCUGAAGGGAGGACCGCUGGACAGAGUGCUGUUUGGGGCAACCUUGGUGUUGUGUGCUGUUGGUGUAGGGAGCUGCUUUCAGUUCUUUUAUGAAAUGUCUUUUCCUAAGAAGAAUGAUUAAUAUAUAUGUAUUAGAGAAUUAAGGUUGGUGAUUAUUGUACAUAUUUGUGAUAUUUAUGGUUAAUUGUUCCCCAGUAUCCAUCUUUCAAAAUCAAUGAAAAUGUUUGAAACUUUUAUGUAUAAAAUACUGAGGGUCCAAUGCUUUGUAGAUUAACUUCAAUAAAUUAAUAAAUUGAAA